ACCGACGUGGGCGACUACGACAUCAAGCUGCGCAAGAUGCGCGAGUUUCUUGAAGAAGGCGACAAGGUCAAGGUCACGAUCCGCUUCCGCGGCCGCGAGAUGUCCCACCAGGACCUCGGCCAGAACCUGGCCCGCAAGAUCCAGACCGACAUCGGCGAGGAAGGCGUGGUCGAGCAGUUCCCGCGCCUCGAAGGUCGCCAGAUGGUCAUGAUGAUCGGGCCUAAGAAGAAGGUCUGAUCUCUGGAAUUGUGGGAGCCGCUAUAGCGGCGAGAAGCCCACGGA
rnacentral:misc_RNA from 1 species